rnacentral:rRNA from 1 species
UGGCGGCGUGCCUAACACAUGCAAGUCGAACGGAGAAUUUCAAUAAGUUUACUUAGAGAAAUUCUUAGUGGCGGACGGGUGAGUAACGCGUGGGUAACCUACCCAUAAAGCCGGGACAACCCUUGGAAACGAGGGCUAAUACCGGAUAAUCUUAGAAAGCGGCAUCGUUUUUGAAGGAAAGGUGGCCUCUGAAAAUGCUACCGAUUAUGGAUGGACCCGCGUCUGAUUAGCUAGUUGGUGGGGUAAAGGCCUACCAAGGCGACGAUCAGUAGCCGGCCUGAGAGGGUGAACGGCCACACUGGGACUGAGACACGGCCCAGACUCCUACGGGAGGCAGCAGUGGGGAAUCUUCCGCAAUGGACGAAGGUCUGACGGAGCAACGCCGCGUGUAUGAUGAAGGUCUUCGGAUUGUAAAGUACUGUCUUUGGGGAAGAACGGUAGCUAUGAAAUAUUGUAGUUACAUGACGGUACCCAAGGAGGAAGCCCCGGCUAACUACGUGCCAGCAGCCGCGGUAAUACGUAGGGGGCAAGCGUUGUCCGGAAUUAUUGGGCGUAAAGGGCGCGUAGGCGGAUCAUUAAGUCCGGUGUGAAANAUCCAGGGCUCAACCCUGAAGAGUGCAUUAGGAAACCUGGUGGAUCUU